AUUCGUCGUUGCAUCCAACGGC
rnacentral:snRNA from 1 species